rnacentral:rRNA from 1 species
GUUUGGCACCUCGAUGUCGGCUCGUCACGUCCUGGGGCUGGAGAAGGUCCCAAGGGUUGAGCUGUUCGCUCAUUAAAGUGGCACGCGAGCUGGGUUCAGAACGUCGUGAGACAGUUCGGUCCCUAUCUGUUGUGGGCGUUAGAAAUUUGAGAGGGCCUGACUCUAGUACGAGAGGACCGAGUCGGACGAACCUCUAGUGUACCUGUUGUGGCGCCAGCUGCAUCGCAGGGUAGCUACGUUCGGUUAAGAUAAGCGCUGAAAGCAUCUAAGCACGAAACUUGCCUCAAGAUUAGAUUUCUUUACAAGGGUUGUUAUAGACUAUGACGUUGAUAGGUUGCAGGUAUAAAGUCAGUAAUGGCAAAGCCGAGCAAUACUAAUUACCCGUAAGCUUUAAUUUA